rnacentral:rRNA from 1 species
UACAGGGGGUGCAAACGUUGCUCGGAAUCAUUGGGCGUAAAGCGCACGUAGGCGGUUCGUUAUGUCGGAUGUGAAAGCCCUUGGCUUAACCGAGGAAGUGCAUCCGAAACUGGCGAGCUAGAGUACGAAAGAGGAUCGCGGAAUUCCCGGUGUAGAGGUGAAAUUCGUAGAUAUCGGGAGGAACACCGGUGGCGAAGGCGGCCGGCUGGGCCGGAUCCGACGCUGAGGCGCGAAAGCGUGGGGAGCAAACAGG